AGGUUGGGGAAGCAUCAGGAUGGAGUGGCUGAUCCUUGGGGCUGGCCGGCACCUGGUCCAUCCAUCAUGUGGGGUGAGCUGUCAGCAGGUACCAGUGCAAAGCGGUGUCUUGGCAUACCAAGCCUGGAGAACCAGAAAGCACAGGGCACAAAUGGAUUACGACUCGGAGCUGGGAAUGAUAGGAGGUUUUUUUCCUGCGCUGCAACACUGAACUAUUAGCCUCUCCCUGAGGGAAGAUAUUGGUUUAGAUAGGAAGCACGAGGAAAACAAGAGUGAUUUGCCAAAUAUCACAAAUGCUGCCUAUGCUGAGUGAGCCAAAUGGCUCAAAGUGGAAAUUGGACAGCAUUCAGCAGAGCUGGGAGAAAUAUCCACUAUCAUUAGGGUAGCAGUGGAAGGUGGUUUGCACCAGGCUGCUAGGGACUGCAUGCUAUUUAUUUGCAAGGUGCUAUGGGGAUGCAGAGCCAAGGGAUGUGCAAAGAGCAGAACGGAAAGGAAACCUCUUGGUGGGAGACCUCUGUGGUCUGCAAGCAUGCCCAUGGAAUCAUUGAACCAUGUUAAGCUUGGAAAAGCUUAACGUUUCAGAUCAUCUGUAGCUCAGUCCCAGCCCACCAUGCCCGCUGACCACCUCUUGCAGCAUGACCCAUGUGUAUUUGAGGUGCGUGCAGCACACCAGUGUUUGCCUUAAAUAUUUUAUGGCCCUGGGAGUGGAAACUCA